rnacentral:rRNA from 1 species
UACGUAGGGGGCUAGCGUUGUCCGGAAUCAUUGGGCGUAAAGCGCGCGUAGGCGGCCCGGUAAGUCCGCUGUAAAAGUCCAGGGCUCAACCCUGGAACGCCGGUGGAUACUGUCGGGCUAGAGUCCGGAAGAGGCGAGUGGAAUUCCUGGUGUAGCGGUGAAAUGCGCAGAUAUCAGGAAGAACACCAAUGGCGAAGGCAGCUCUCUGGGACGGUACUGACGCUGAGACGCGAAAGCGUGGGGAGCGAACAGG